AUUAUCGUUAUUGUAUUAGGCCCCUCGUGCGAACACGAGAUUCGGAUUCGCGCACGCGGGGGGGGUUCGAUACGAUUAUAUAUAUACCUAUACAAUAAUCGAUCAGAAUCUAUGGCCGAAUCGCCAGAAAAACCGUAGAGUAAUCGACGUGACUACGACGAGUAUAUAGCUGGUCCCCGAUCGCCGAACUGGUUCCCCGGGGUCUUCGGCUAC